CGUUCAGUUCUGUGUGUACGGAAAACGCUAACGAUUUUUAAGUUUAUCCACACAAAAUACAUUCCAUACGUUUCGAUACGUUGUAUUUCGACUCAAAUGACAGCGUAACGGUAGUAGUGGUGGUGGUGGUGUUGUGUUUUGGAAAUCUCAUAAUUGAUAAUUGAGUGAAUAAUUGAUAAUUUGAGAAAGGCGUAAGAGUAGCUAAAAAGGUGCGUUUGACAGUUUUGUGUUGGCAUAUUGCAGUCGCUAACGCAUUUCAACGAUUACGUGACGUUGCAACAGAAAUUGAAAAAUUAUUUGCAUUUAAAAAACAACAAUCAAAAGCAAGCACAACAAAAACAACGCAACGCAAUCAAAGUGAAUGCAAAUGCAGAAGCAGCAGCAGCAACAACAACAACAACAACAUUGCCAUGCGCGAAAAUGCAAAUUUAUACGUUCGCGUUCGUGGAAUUGUUGAAUUUCCGAAUUUGAUUUUUGCAAACCCAUCGACGAUGUUUGACGAAUUGAGUUGUUAGUAUCGGUCAAUCGGUGUGUUUGGAGCGCGUAAAAAGUGAUUUAAACAUUAUUCGUUGCAAACGAACGUACAUAUAAUUCAUACAUACAUACAUACAUACAUGCAAAACAUAUCGACCGUGCUACAUUUGUUGUUGUUAUUUAUAGCUUUACUGCUAAAAAAUGGUUUAAUCCUCCUGCUUUAUGCAGCAUGCAAGUGUUGAAAACUAUUUGAAGCAUUCUCGAACUCGCGACUGAUAUUUUCAAAUCGGACGUGAUCAAAAAUACCAGUUAGCAACACUUGUAAGCCUUGAAGUAGAUAUAACAACAACAAAAACAACAAAAA